CUGGGCUUCCCACACCUGGGAGCAGGAAAACAUUCAGCCCUAUGUGUGCCUCAGUAUGCCAGUAGGAGUGAGUCUGCACAUUGACACCCCCCCACCCCCGCUUCUGGGGAUGAUGGCGUUGCUGGCUAAGGCAGCAUUUAUCGUCCAUCCCUGAGGGCAGUUAAGAGUUAACCACAUUGCUGUGGGUCUGGAGUCACAUGUAGGCCAGACCAGAUGCCGCCAGACCUGCCGAAUUUCUCCUGCAUUCUCUGCUUUUGUUUCAGAUUUCAUGUUUCUGUAGUACUCUGCUUUUAUACUUACUGAAAAUUGUUAACAUUUAUUAAUCGUGAUGCAAAUCAAAUCUUAUUGGAAAC